GUCGGUAUAGCAAAGUGGUUACUGCGUUUGAUUUGAACAUUAUCAAAUUCCCUCCGGGAGCGUAGGUUCGAACCCUACUGCCGACG
rnacentral:tRNA from 1 species